rnacentral:tRNA from 1 species
UAGCUCAGUUGGAUAGAGCAACGGCCUUCUAAGCCGUGGGUCGCAGGUUCGAAUCCUGC